GCCGUCCCGCUUGCCUCCCAUCCGCGCGACACUUUCAGCCCAGUUUCGGACUCUUUUCUGGCUCUCAGUUACUCACAUAUUUUUCUGUUCCCUGUGCACCCCCCCCUCCCCAAAUCAGUUUCUGUUGUGCAAUUUUAAAGGAGGUUCUGCAGUUUUAUUGCGUUCUGCCUAAGUGAUCCCAUCACAUGCCUUUUACUCUUUAAGAAAUACACUUUACGUGCAUGCACUCGGGAAUACAAGCAGGCAGGAUUUAUUCAUAAAAAGGCACAUAUAUCAUGCUGUAGGUUCCCUGUACGUACCAUCUCUGAACACGCUACCAUGUAUAUCCCAUAAGCUGGAUGCAAUCGUCUAGAACAUGGACCUUUGCUGCUUUUGGCAUGACGUAGGUGCUUAUUAAUAAAAAGAAUCUGUAAGACAGUUUCACUCUCAAUUCUGCCAGUUCUUAAACUCCACUCCUAUUUCUCGUGGCUGCUUUCGUCUUUUUUCCCUUUCAGAUUCCAGAUAUCCUCCUCACGGCCCCUUUCGUGGCUUUAUAAUCGAAACCACACUUCUGAUGCGUUCUUAAUGCAGUCCUGGACAAUGCUGACCAGGUCCCACCCCCUGUUUAGCCGAUCACAGCUCGCGGGGGCUCUGGAUCUUUCCUAGCCUCUAGGGCACCGCAUCAGUAGCACGUUGGGUACCUGCAGCCCUCUGACAUGCUCCUUUGGAUCUGUGUCUGGCUAGACGUGCUUAUGGGUGUCGUGCGCACCAUCGCAGAGAAGCGCCGUACGCAUGGUGCAUGCCGUUCCUCUCCUCGUGCCUUUCGCUAAGCGAGCCGAAGCCUGGGCUGGCAUUUGCCAUUUGUCUGCUGAACAUUUGUUUUUCAGUAUUUCCCGAGAGGCGUAAGUCAUGCUGUCACAUCACACUAGCUGCACUGAUUUUUGGUACCUUUUUGAUUGCUACUGAUUAAUUAAGAGGUCAAAUCGACCUCCACACCUACGGGUGGUUGGUCAUUAAUUUUUAAAACGAGUAUGGAGAGGGAAUAAAGAGCCUUCCUCCGCAGGGACAUGUACGUGGUUUCGGAAAUGCAAACCACGGGAGCUCCUAGCUGUCUCAUACUGGGUAUCCAUGGCCACGGCUGCCCCAUAGUGCGGCUCCCCCUAAUACUGUUCCAGGUGGGUGUUGGACAUCUGCGGGGGGGUUUAAAAGCAGCCCAGCAAAGGCCAGUUUCAGUUUCUUCUUUAUCAGUUUCAUGCAAUAGCCGACUCCCGCCCCCUCCCUGAUGUAAUUUGGACUUGCGUUGCGCCGUUGUUUAGAACGAACUGGAAAGCAUGUGCCGUAUGGGUUUGGCUGGGACUAUGCAGACAGGCCAGUGGAUUUCAUGGUGAUUUAUUUAUUUGCUCAAAUGAUUUCUUCUGAAUGCCUGCCCUCAUUGUUGUAUCUGCUUCCCAGCUGUCGGUGUCCUUGCAUUCCUUCUAAUUGUGCCAAGCAGACUUAUGGUAGCUUUAUGGGCUGGGGUGGCCCCACUCUACACGGCUCUAUGACUUGCAGAUAUUUUCCCUUUUAUAGCUGGACACUCACCUGACCCUCUCCUCCUGCUGCCUGUUCUGCAGAACCUGCCUCUUUCCUCCCAAACACAUUUCUGUCCUGCCAGUCCAUUUUACUGUGGACAGUUCUUGCUUUUUGGUCAAUUCUGCUGCACCUGUUUUGUCAGCAGUGUUAGCCUCGUGCGUGUUCAGAGUGUCCCCUCAGGGCAGUCACAGAGUGUCCUCUAAGGGGAGUCACAGAGUGUCCUCUAAGGGGAGUCACAGAGUGUCCCUUAAGGGCAGUUACAGAGUGUCCCCUUAGAGCAGUCACAGAGUGUCCCUUAAGGGCAGUCACAGAGUGUCCCCUCAGAGCAGUCACAGUGUCCCCUCAGGGCAGUCACAGAGUGUCCCCUCAGAGCUGUCACAGAGUGUCCCCUCAGAGCAGUCACAGAGUGUCCUCUAAGAGGAGUCACAGAGUGUCCUCUAAGAGGAGUCACAGAGUGUCCUCUAAGGGCAGUCAUAGAGUGUCCCCUCAGGGCAGUCACAGAGUGUCCCCUUUGAGCAGUCACAGAGUGUCCCCUCAGAGCAGUCACAGAGUGUCCCCUUAGAGCAGUCACAGAGUGUCCCCUCAGAGCAGUCACAGAGUGUCCCCUUAGAGCAGUCACAGAGUGUCCCCUCAGAGCAGUCACAGAGUGUCCCUUAAGGGCAGUCACAGUGCGGCUCUGGCUUUCGUUGCAGUCCAGCAUGCUGGCAAACCUGAGCGUCUGGUCCUUGCUCCCUGUGCCGUUCCCUCUCCAGUAACUCACGGCAGGUGCUCCCACCCUGUAAAGCUCACUCUUCUGUUAGUCAGUGUAACCUUUCCAGAUGAUAUUAGACCCUUUUCUGUUUCCAAACCUACAUUAUUGUGCAUUUUUCAUGUUUAGGUUCCCCGCAGCCAUGACCUCAGUGACUCAUCCAUGAAAUCAAAAUUCAUAUCCGAUUUUUAUACACCAAGAAGCAGCCCCUGGCCGAGCAAAUAGAGGUCUCCGGAGAUACUGCAUGUUCAUUGUCCAGCUCCAUUUAAUCUUUUAAUUUGUGUUUUAGUUGUAUUUAUGUCAUAAUUUAUUAUCUAACAGAGUUGGACAGUUACCGAAGCAUUUCAUUCAGACAGCACCUUUAGGAUUUGAACCUGAACCAAACCCAGCCGUUUGUCUAAUGGUUACUGGACCGUGUGCAUAAUCCGGCUUUCCCUGCAAUUACGUCCGUUAUUUUACAAUGAAAACCUGAUCCUUAGUGCUCAGUUUCAGCUCCUUUAAGGUCACGCUCACAUAAAAUUCUGGACGUUGCACCUUUAUGGCUUAUUUUAUUAGUGAGGUAUCGUAGAGAAGAGGCUCUGUGUUUUUCCUGGGUUCAUAGUAGAAUAUAAUACCUCAGUCUAGUUGUACAAUGUGAGGAUGGUACUGUUCUACUUAUGCUGGCCUCAGAGUCAUUAAGACGCUUAUUUUCUGACAACAGGCACCUGUUAAGUGAACUUGACAAGUAAAAGACAGUAACAUAAAUGGAGAUGUGGCUUCCAGAGUGGGUGGGCGUGCUGGGAGCUGGCACCCCCUACAGGCAUAGCUUGGCUGCCCACGCUACUGGUGUCUGAGCAAUUUCAGCCGUUAAUCCUGCUCACCGCUGACUUGCAUAUGGCCAGAGUUGAAGGUAGCUGCAGUAGAUAAAGUGGCACACCUCCACUGUCAAGUCAGGAUUUCGAUAAAUUUUCCCCUGCCUUUUAUGGGAUUGUGGUCCAUUUCUUGACCAGUCCAUUGUCAACGCUGUUAGCUGAACACGUGCCAUUCAUGACGACCUAUUUCUGAAGCCCUGGUACUGCUGUUGGUUUUGUCGAUUUCUCGAGCACCGUUAAGGCAGCGACCUGCCACCAACUCGCCGCACCUUUUCAUGGCAUGUCUGGUUGCUGGAAUGAGUAGAACUUCAUGAUCCCCCUCAGCCCCCCACUGGGUUUCCAGGCCAACCUGAACACCAUUUACUCAGCAGCAAUCUCUCACAUAUGCACUUAUAAAACACAUAGAUUUAGCACCUGUUUCCGUGACAUCGGGACAAGCAUGUCUCUCUUUAAAUCUGUCGAAAGACCAUAAAAACCAGCACCCCGAUUCCACAGAUCCCGAGCUGACACUCGUCCCGGCCUGUGCCGCCGGCCUGACGCUCACUCAUAGCUGCAGCGAAGGGUCCUUAAAGGAUGGGCUAUAUGGUGUCGUGUUGAAGCCUCCUGGAGCGUGCCAGGGAGUGAGUCUCAUUCAUAUGUGCAACAACUGUUUGAAUGGUUUGAGCGUCCUACAGAUGUGUCUGAUUUUUAGGGUUGCAUAUGGUUUAGGGUUUCAAAGGAUUUCGUUAGAUUACUGGCAUUCAGAAUGAACACUUUCACCGUACAUUUUAGAGAAAUGGAUUUGGAAACCUACAACAGGCACUCAUUCCAAGUUAAUCAAUGGCUGCUCGCAAGUACAUACCUCAUUAAUUCUUUAAGUGAGACAACCAUAAUGAUCUAACGCUUAAAUAAUAAGGAAAUUUAUAGGUGUGAUGAAGGGUCGGUAAUAGAAUGCUCGGCUGUUUUCGUUUUGGCCGCCGACCGAGGGGUGGGUACUCGGCUUUUUAUGCGUGCCUUCGGUAAAAUAUUAGGCCCUAAUCUAGUCUGCCAAAUAUGAAGCACAGUGGAACAUUUAAAGCAGGCAGCCUAUUUGGGGCCAAGCGGGCAACCAAGGAGUGAGCAGCCUAAACGGGCCUGGUAUACCGUCUAAGCAGCAGGGGUGGAAUCUGACCCCGAUGGGACAGUGUGCUGACUCCAGUCCCCUGCCCUGGUGUGUCGGGUCACCCUGAUUAGCAGAGCCACUUAGGCUGUGCCCUGCAUCUUUGGAAUGAUCGGAGAAUGCAAAUCAGGUGGGGAAUGUUUUGGAAUGUUUGAUCUGCGCAAAUGUCCACAUGUUCAGAACAGAAACACAGUUAUGUCUCAAGCAUCAGGUUCGUAUUUGCACUUUCUCCCAAUGGCAGAUACAUCUGAUCGGCUACACAAGAACCAACCUCCAACAUCCUGGAGGGUUCAGGGUCAGAAGGUUCUGUGGGUGUGGUGCUGUGCGGCCAUUGGGUUAAGGCGGUGGGUCACAGACAAAGUGCGGCUUAGCUUUACAUAUUAGACACCCGCCCGUGAGUCAGGACAUGGAAGAUGGGCCAUGUGAUGCACAGCUGAUGGCAGCUUCCCAGCAUCACCUUCCAUGCAUUAGUUAUUUUUGAUCUUUGUGCUAAUAGAAUUUCCUGACGCUCACGGGAAACUGAACUGAACUGAGGCCAUACGAUUCCAGUGAACAGGGAGGCCGCAGCCUUACUUCCCGGUUCAGAGUUUGUUUUGCUGAGCCGAGAGACCACCCUGUAGCGUUGUUUAUGUUUCAAAGUGGGCUCUGUUAAUUUUCACUGUUCCAGUCUGCCUCAUUUCUCCUGUGUAUGCAACUGCUAAAAACCACUUGCUUUAGUAUGCCAUAUAAUUUCCUAUUACUGUCCUUUGCCUGCUUAGAUAUGAGUUUGAUGUAUCUUUGCUAUGCUUGAACUCUCUGAGCACCUGCCGGGGCCAUGGGAGGGGCGGGAGGUCAGGUGGGGGUUCGUGUCCUGUGGUUUACAUCUGCAGUCCUGCUCUGUUUAAGUCUCAUGACCUAGUGAAUCACAUCAAGACAUUUUUCAGUCUUAUGAAGUAGGACGGUCUAAAUAACCUAAACUCAAAAUGGGGGGGGCAAGUUUAAUUCAGCCCAACAAAAAUAAGGCCGGAAAUGGAGAUUAUUACACAAUGGCGCUUUCUUUCGGUCCUUCCAGACAUCAGCUUUCAGCCCCGCAUGCUUGGAGAGGACUGUCUCCUUGACGACAGAAUAAUCCUGCUUUGUUUGUCUGAUUCUCUCCAAAAUCAGAGAAAUGCGUUCGUCCAUCUCCUCAGUCACAGUGACUGUUGUGAAAUAGAUAUCAGGACCCCCAUGACAACACAUUCUCAUUGCGAAAGCAUGCGGUUCCCCUGCAUCACCCCGACAGCGUCCCGCAGACAUUGUCCAGAAAGAUCCAGAGCUUGAGUAAGAUUCACCUUCUGAAGCCGUAUUAAAAUUAAUCCCCCCCCCCAUUUACAGUUUCUGAGAAAAGCCCCCAGGUCGGGCAGUCAGCUUGCACACUGGCGAUAUGGGUCUGCUCUGCAGACAACCCUUGCUUCCUUCGCUAAGCUGUCACUGUGAUUGUAUGCAGUGGCUGAAUUCCUGAAGGAGUAAAUGUGCUAUGAUUUAAUGUGUCGCGCAUGAGGGCCCGCGGAGUGACCCAAGCAGGCAGCUUUUCUCUCCUGCGUUCCUUUCAUCUCAGACGUCUCACUUUGUUUAAACCCAACCGCUGAGUCCAGAAACCCGAGCCGUUCGGCCUCGGCCAAGCGGGUCACCAGCCACACUCUGGCACUGGCGCAGUGUGGCGUGACGCCCCCUUUCCCGCAGACAGCGCGCGCCGCCCUCCACGCCUCCUGUUUUUAUGCUGCCGUGUGCCGCGUUCGCACUUCCCCAGCUGCAGCUGUGCCAGGCUACCUCUCGUGUCUGCGUCUUGGUGUAAAAGGCCCCAUCAGGGUACAUGUCACUGGGCUGACUCUCACCUUAGGAAAGUCUCCCCAGCUGUGAGGUGUCUGCAUAUUCCGUGAAGCUUUAUAACCAUCAAAAACUUCAUUCACAUAGUUUUACCAGUGUAACAUUAACCAACAGGUUUAGGUUACCUUCAACAGCCAGUUAAUCUCUCCUCCAGAUGCUGGUUGUAGGUGACCUUAAACAGCUGGUUAACUUUCCCCUCAGAUGCUAGCUUGAGGUUACUUUAAAUGGCUGGUCAACCUCUCCUGUAGAUGCUAGCUUGAGGUUACCUUAAACGGCUGGUUAACUUUCCCCCCAGAUGCUAGCUUGAGGUUACCUUAAACGGCUGGUUAACUUUCCCCCCAGAUGUUAGCUUGAGGUUACCUUAAACGGCUGGUUAACUUUCCCCCCAGAUGCUAGCUUGAGAUUACCUUAAACGGCUGGUUAACUUUCCCCCCAGAUGCUAGCUUGAGGUUACCUUAAACGGCUGGUUAACUUUCCCCCCAGAUGCUAGCUUGAGGUUACCUUAAACGGCUGGUUAACUUUCCCCCCAGAUGCUAGCUUGAGAUUACCUUAAACGGCUGGUUAACUUUCCCCCCAGAUGCUAGCUUGAGGUUACUUUAAACGGCUGGUUAACUUUCCCCCCAGAUGCUAGCUUGAGGUUACCUUAAACGGCUGGUUAACUUUCCCCCCAGAUGCUAGCUUGAGGUUACUUUAAACGGCUUGUUAACUUUCCCCCCAGAUGCUAGCUUGAGGUUACCUUAAACGGCUGGUUAACUUUCCCCCCAGAUGCUAGCUUGAGGUUACCUUAAACGGCUGGUUAACUUUCCCCCCAGAUGCUAGCUUGAGGUUACCUUAAACGGCUGGUUAACUUUCCCCCCAGAUGCUAGCUUGAGGUUACCUUAAACGGCUGGUUAACUUUCCCCCCAGAUGCUAGCUUGAGGUUACCUUAAACGGCUGGUUAACUUUCCCCCCAGAUGCUAGCUUGCGGUUACCUUUAACGGCUGGUUAACUUUCCCCCCAGAUGCUAGCUUGAGGUUACCUUAAACGGCUGGUUAACCUCUCCUCCAGAUGCUGGCUUGAGGUUACCUUAAACGGCUGGUUAACCUCUCCUCCAGAUGCUGGCUUUGGGCUGCCGUAAGCAGCCACUCCAAAUUACCAGAUUGCAUAGCUUCUUUACUCAACGCUUUGAGCGCAGGGAACGAUCUCGGAAAUUACCCUUUGGUGAGAUUCGCUUGGCAUGUGGCAUUUAAUAACGUUCAGUCGCCCCUGCCUGUGCAAUUACCAUAUAUUGGGAACAGAUUUGACUUUAUAACCUGCCAACAUGUAAAAGAUCCAUGACGGCGAGGCCGGCAGGUUGGACUGGGGGCUUGUCCAGUCCGUGUACUGUGCCCUCUCUGUAAUUCAGGAGGCAAUACCGCUAAAUGGGUGAUGCUGAUGAGUUUGUGAUGUUUUUGAGCUCAUGGCGAGGGACAGCAACCAUGUCCGAGUGCCCGGACCUAUUCCGACUGAUUCACGCCGUUGGGCUUUCAAGUGGGCAACAACGCGAGCGUGUGUGCCCUUCACUUCAAAACAUGUUUGAAUGAAAUAUGACGCCCCCCCCCCUCCAUUUAAACGGGUUCAUGAAUAAUAAAUCUGCUUAAUAAAGUAACUUAUUAGCUAGCGGCCAGUAAACGUAUCAGUGUUUGUCCACUUUAAUGCCAAGGCGUGUAAACAGAUCGCUGCGGCAUCCAUCUCCACAUGUGUUUAUCAAACUAUAAAUAAGAUGCAUGUGCUUGUUUAUUCUCACAACAAUGGAGGAUUGUUAUGGGGUAACGGGACAGAUGCCCGUUUUGAGGAAGCAGACUGCAAGGCUUCAGUAUUAGGAACGAGUCAUUCUGAGCAGAGGCACGCAAAGGCCAGCUUCAGGUACACUUCACUCAGGGGCUUAAUUUACCCUGUGUGACUUACUAACACAGCAAAGUAGCUUCUAUUUAAAUUUUAUUUUAAUCUAGUUUAGUAACUUAGUCAUAAUAAAUGUUGCUGCACCCUCAUCUACAAAUUCAUCUUCUGAAUAAAAAUAAUACAGAAAUCUUGACAGGCUAGCAGGCUCUUACAGUAUUUAAUACUGCUCAGGAUCUCGCUAACUAUGCUCUGUGGAGUACAU